rnacentral:snRNA from 1 species
GGGUGUGAGGGCGAUCUGGCUACGACAUCUGUCACCCAACUGAUCGCCAGGGUUGAUUCGGCUGAUCUGGCUGGCUAGGCAGGUGUCCCCUUCCUCCCUCAACGCUCCACGUGUGUCCCUCCCGAAGCUGCGCGCUCUGUGGAAGAGGAUGACCAUCCCCGGUGGAGGAAGACCGGUCCUCGGUCACGGGUAUGCGAGUAGCUGCGCUCCCCUGCUAGAACUUCCAAACAAGCUCUCAAGGUAAAAAAUAGUACUAAUAUUAGCCAGGUGUAGUGAGCAUGCCUCUAAACAGCUACUCAAGAGGCUGUGGCAGGAGGAUCAUAAGUUUGA